GUGAGGAAUAUUGGUCAAUGGGCGAGAGCCUGAACCAGCCAAGUCGCGUGAAGGAAGAAGGAUCUAUGGUUCGUAAACUUCUUUUGCAGGGGAAUAAAGUGCAGGACGUGUCCUGUUUUGUAUGUACCCUGAGAAUAAGGAUCGGCUAACUCCGUGCCAGCAGCCGCGGUAAUACGGAGGAUCCGAGCGUUAUCCGGAUUUAUUGGGUUUAAAGGGUGCGUAGGUGGUUUGAUAAGUCAGCGGUGAAAGUUUGCAGCUUAACUGUAAAAAUGCCGUUGAAACUGUCGGACUUGAGUGUAAAUGAGGUAGGCGGAAUGCGUGGUGUAGCGGUGAAAUGCAUAGAUAUCACGCAGAACUCCGAUUGCGAAGGCAGCUUACUAUUUCAUGAUUGACGCUGAGGCACGAAAGCGUGGGUAGCGAACAGGAUUAGAAACCCGGGUAGUCC
rnacentral:rRNA from 1 species